rnacentral:pre_miRNA from 1 species
AUUACCUAGGGAUCUUGUUAAAAUGCACAUUCUGAUUCAGCAGGUCUGGGAUGGGGUCCGAGAUUCUGAGUUUCUAGCAAGCUCCUGGGUGAUGCAGA